rnacentral:rRNA from 1 species
GAUGAACGCUGGCGGCGUGCCUAAUACAUGCAAGUCGAGCGAACAGACGAGGAGCCUGCUCCUCUGACGUUAGCGGCGGACGGGUGAGUAACACGUGGAUAACCUACCUAUAAGACUGGGAUAACUUCGGGAAACCGGAGCUAAUACCGGAUAAUAUAUUGAACCGCAUGGUUCAAUAGUGAAAGACGGUUUUGCUGUCACUUAUAGAUGGAUCCGCGCCGCAUUAGCUAGUUGGUAAGGUAACGGCUUACCAAGGCAACGAUGCGUAGCCGACCUGAGAGGGUGAUCGGCCACACUGGAACUGAGACACGGUCCAGACUCCUACGGGAGGCAGCAGUAGGGAAUCUUCCGCAAUGGGCGAAAGCCUGACGGAGCAACGUCGCGUGAGUGAUGAAGGUCUUCGGAUCGUAAAACUCUGUUAUUAGGGAAGAACAAAUGUGUAAGUAACUAUGCACGUCUUGACGGUACCUAAUCAGAAAGCCACGGCUAACUACGUG